AAGGAAAUCUUUCCAUAUCACCCAGGCUGAUCUUCAACGAACUGGACUCAAGUAUUCCUCCCACCUCGGCCUCCAGGGGGGACUGUUUGACGCCAGAGUGGAGACGGUCAGGCAGCCACUCGGGCCUUGGAAGCAAAGUCAAAAAUCUCUCCCAAAUCCUCUCUCCCUGCUCCUGUUGAUUGGGUGCCCUCACCUUGCUGCACAGCGGUUAUGAUGGACUGUCCCAUGACUGCUUUCCUGGUUUGAAAACUUGGACUCUUGAAUCAAAUGAAUUCCACUUCAUAUGCUUUUAUUUUGCAGAAACAUUUCAAGUUAACUUCUCAAGGAAAAUCCUUCUGAAAUGUAAAAUUACUGAAUUCCUCCUUGUUGAAUGUACAGCUGGUAUAAAAAUGGUGCUUUGUCGUCAUGAAGAAGGUGUAUUCUGGGAUCAAACCACCUGGCUGGAGAUGCUUACUAACCUCAGUUUCUUCAUCUGACCUUACCUUUCUAAAAGAAUAAGAAGAAGAUGAUACAUAUUCCUCUAAAGUCCCAACAGGAACCUUUUCCCCUCACUCCCUCCCCAGAGAUGUGUAUCAUUUCCAUGAGUGUCUGUACUUUUACAACAUGUGCAUAUUAAUAAACAAAAUAUGACAAAUUAUUUUGUCUUAAUAUUUGCAUAAAUCUAGCCAUACUCUACACCACUUUUGCAACUUUCACUAUUAUAUAUUUUGAAGAUUAUCCGUGUUUAUGCACAUAAGUUUAUCAUUUUAACUGUUGAAUAGUGUUUCAUUAUAUGAAUUAACCAUAAUUCAUCUAUUUCCCUGAGUGACAAUUAGGUUUCUUUUUGUUUUUAUGCUCUGAUGAACAAUCUUGCAAUUAUUAUCUUUGUAUAUGUCUUCAUGUAUAAGAAAUUCUCCAGGGUAGACACUUAGAAGUAAAGGGUCUGACUCAGAGAGUCUGUGUAUUUUAAAAUGUAUUGGUUAUUGUCAAAUUGUUCCUCAAAGUAGAU
rnacentral:lncRNA from 1 species